rnacentral:rRNA from 1 species
UACGUAGGCAGCAAGCGUUGUUCGGAGUUACUGGGCGUAAAGGGUGUGUAGGCGGCUUUCUAAGUUUGUUGUGAAAUCUCCCGGCUUAACCGGGAGGGUGCGGCGAAGACUGGAAGGCUAGAGUAUGGGAUGGGAGAGUGGAAUUCCUGGUGUAGCGGUGAAAUGCGUAGAUAUCAGGAGGAACACCUGCGGUGUAGACGGCUCUCUGGACCAUUACUGACGCUGAGACACGAAAGCUAGGGGAGCGAACAGG